GUGCCAGCAGCCGCGGUAAUACCGGCAGCCCGAGUGAUGGCCGAUCUUAUUGGGCCUAAAGCGUCCGUAGCUGGCCAAGCAAGUCCAUUGGGAAAUCUACGCGCUCAACGCGUGGGCGUCCGGUGGAAACUGCACAGCUUGGGACCGGAAGGCUCGAAGGGUACGCUCGGGGUAGGAGUGAAAUCCCAUAAUCCCGCACGGACCACCGAUGGCGAAAGCACUUCGAGAAAACGGAUCCGACAGUGAGGGACGAAAGCCAGGGUCUCCAACCGGAUUAGAUACCCUUGUAGUCC
rnacentral:rRNA from 1 species